rnacentral:rRNA from 1 species
UGGGGAAUUUUGGACAAUGGGCGAAAGCCUGAUCCAGCAAUGCCGCGUGUGUGAAGAAGGCCUUCGGGUUGUAAAGCACUUUUGUCCGGAAAGAAAUCCUUGGCUCUAAUACAGUCGGGGGAUGACGGUACCGGAAGAAUAAGCACCGGCUAACUACGUGCCAGCAGCCGCGGUAAUACGUAGGGUGCAAGCGUUAAUCGGAAUUACUGGGCGUAAAGCGUGCGCAGGCGGUUUGCUAAGACCGAUGUGAAAUCCCCGGGCUCAACCUGGGAACUGCAUUGGUGACUGGCAAGCUAGAGUAUGGCAGAGGGGGGUAGAAUUCCACGUGUAGCAGUGAAAUGCGUAGAGAUGUGGAGGAAUACCGAUGGCGAAGGCAGCCCCCUGGGCCAAUACUGACGCUCAUGCACGAAAGCGUGGGGAGCAAACAGGAUUAGAUACCCUGGUAGUCCACGCCCUAAACGAUGUCAACUAGUUGUUGGGGAUUCAUUUCCUUAGUAACGUAGCUAACGCGUGAAGUUGACCGCCUGGGGAGUACGGUCGCAAGAUUAAAACUCAAAUGAAUUGACGGGGUCAUAGCUGUUUCCU